CACUGACCCGGGCUUGCUCCUUCCUCUCUUGCGCAGCUCCGAGGCGGCGCCGCCGUCCGUGGGCACCAGGCCCUUGUCAGGCAGCAGCUUCCCGGGCGGGUUGGGGGGCACGCGGAUGCGCAGACGGAAGAUGCACUUCUUCUUCUUGAUCUCCUUGCCGCACAGGAACCUGCGGGGGGCGGGAGAGAAAGCUCUGGGCCUGUGGGUCCUCCUCCCGGGAGGCGAGUGCAGCCUCCCUGCGCCCAGAGCUGAGGUCCGGGUCGCUGCGGACACGACACGGGUUCCUCAAGGCCAUGGGGCCCGGGCUGGGCAGGGAUGCGGCUGGGGGCUCCUCCCUGCCCCCCUUGGUUCUAGCAGCUCCUGCCCCUCUUCUCGGCUCAACCAGCCCCAGGGCACCUCCUACAGGAAGGCCUCCUCCAGUUCGCAGGGAACUGCUGGGGCCCACACACCGCUUCCACACCAUUCUGCUUUCCGGUCUCCUCAGGAGACUGCAAACACCUGCAGGCAUGUCCCUCCUCCUUCCAGGUGAGCUGCCAGGUGAGGGGUGGCUCCGACAGUCCUCCCCCAGCACCCGUCCACAGGGAAGCCACCACGAGGGCAGGAGCCCCACUGCUCAAGAGCAGGACUGUGUCCGGGCCCCACCCCAUGAGGGGGGACCACGUCCUGCUCCUCGCUGCGUGCUCAGGACCUACACAGGGCUGAUGGGGCAGCAGUUCAAGCAACACCGUCGGGGGGACAAAGGACUGAACGGGAUGGAAGAGCGCUCCAGUCCACAGAGAGCUGAGCAGACCCCCUGAGCUGGAGAGCAGCGGGUUCAGGACAGCCGACGCCCAGAACAAAUCAAGCAGAGGAUCAGGGCAGGGUCUGGCCACGGGAGGCCCUGAAUGCCGUGCUCAGGAGCCUGGGCAGUGGCAGCCAGGUCUGUGGCUGUCGUGUGCUGAGGACUCAGGAGCCCGGGGGGAAGACACGGGCUGGGGACGGGAUGGCUACGGGGAUGGGAUGAAUGGACCUUCCAGUGCCCAGCCCUGAACCACAGACGGCCGGAGAGGAGUGGCCCUCAGAGAGCAGGGGUGCACCCCCUAGGAAGCGGAGCCCAGGACUGACGCAUGAAGCUGCUGCAGCGGUUGGGGGCACAUCACAAAAGAGGUUGAAGAAGGCCCAUGCCCUUGACCCGGCAAUGCCACCGCAUGGGCUCUAUCACGGGGUCAGAACGCACAACACAGGCAAAGCUUUAAGUGCAGCGUCGUUCCCAGUGAGAGGCAGGGAACCUGCCCAAAGGAAGGAAAGCAGUAAGUCAACCGUGGUGGAAACCAGUGGGGCCUUAAACAUGCGGAUGAAAGCUCUUUCAGAGUACGGAAAAGUAUUUAUGAUAUAAAGUGAAAAAAAGUGAUUUAAAAUUUUACAUACUGUAUAACAGAAGCCAGGAAAAACAGAAAAAAACGAUGGAAUACAUCACUGGCAGCUGUUUCUGCGCGGCGUGACGGGGAGUGUGGAUGAUUUUGUUCUUAGUAGGCUCCCCCCACCCCCCAGCAUGGGGCCCAGAGCAGGGCCCGGACUCAAGACCCGAGAUUGAGACCUGAGCUGAGAUCAAGUCAGACACUCAACUGAGCCCCAAGGCGCCCCUGGAUGAUUUUUUCAAAAGUGUACUUUGUUGCACUUAACAAUUUUCCUACCAGGAACGAUUUUCUCUUAAAGAUUUAAAGCCGACUCCCCGCCGAGCACAGAGCCCGACACACAGGGCUCCGUCCCAGGACCCCGAGAUCACCACCAGAGCCGAAAACCAAAGUCGGCUGCCCAGGCGCCCCGACAAUAUAAAUGUCUUAUAAAUAAUCAACGCUACAAUGGAAGACGUUACAUAAAAAGCGUCAUAGGUCUUUUCUGUUUUUUUCAUCAUAGGUCUUUAUGCAAAGCAUUAAAGUC